AGUGGGAUUUCUGGGUCAAAUGGUGGUUCCAUUCUAAGUUUCUUAGGAAUAUCCAUACUGCUUUCCAGAAUGGUUGCACCAAUUUGCAGUCCCACCAACAAU
rnacentral:pre_miRNA from 1 species